GCGAACCAAAUUCAUUUUUCAUUCAUCAAACGCACACGUUUUUGCAUACAAGUAACAAAAUUUCAAAUUAACUCCAAAUUACACUCAAAUUUUAAACUCAACUUUCAACAUUAUAUUAAAAAACACAAGUUCAACAGAAUUGCAUCUCAACUUCAUCUUGACCACACAAUCAACAAUCAUCAAUGGUCUCAAUUGCACAAUAUCUAUUACCACAUAUCAAUGAAAUUCCCUCUCCAAACUCAACAAAACCUUAACUGUUUUCCCCCUCAUUCCUUCAUGAAUUCCCUCCCAAUUUGGCACUCAAUUUUAAUCACUCACCUAUAUAACAACACCUAA